rnacentral:rRNA from 1 species
GACGAACCGUACGAACGUUAUUCGGAAUUACUGGGCGUAAAGGGCUCGUAGGUGGCCAACUAAGUCAGACGUGAAAUCCCUCGGCUUAACCGGGGAACUGCAUCUGAUACUGGAUGGCUUGAGAUUGGGAGAGGGAAGCGGAAUUCCGGGUGGUAGCGGUGAAAUGCGUAGAUAUCCGGAGGAACACCGGUGGCGAAGGCGGCUCCUGGACCGACACUGACGCUGAGGCGCGAAAGCUAGGGGAGCAAACGGG